rnacentral:lncRNA from 1 species
UCUCUUUACCUUCUUCCUAAAGGAUCUCUCUCCAAAUACAGUCACCCUAGGGCUUCUUUGCAAAUACGAGAGGGACAUCCUGCAGUCCAGAACAGACAUGUCAUAGACAAACCCUCCACUAAAUCAAUAAAAAGGUUGUCCACUGCCUGCUUUUUCCUCCCAAGGAAGAAUUUUAAAAAUUUCAUCAGAUCAACAACAGCUAUGGCAGCAAACAUUUUUCAGCUGAGUCCUGCUGGGAUAACGGCUCUCCCAUGAUGCCAAGCGGCUCUGCUGUGAAGGACAGAAGUGAGGAUUUGCUUACGACAUCCAAAUAUGGUGAAUCCAUUUGCUCCGAGUUGACAAAUGAACUGGAGGUCCCAGGUUUCCUGAUUCAUCGYCUGUUGUCCCCAUUACCACCACCGCGUCUGACUGACUCACUGACAUCACAGUCCUGGGAACCACAGCGGGCCCCACAACAAAGAUGAAAGGGGAGAAAGAGGAUCUCACUAAUCGUCUCCAGAGCUGUAGCCCAGUGGGCGAAGGUCGUGAUAAAGGACGGGGCGGGAAGAGAUUAGAGGACCGCACAUGAAAGGGGUUGAAAAACAUCACCCAGUCACGAAGAAAAGAAAAUGSACCCCUGUUUCAGAGGGAGUCCCCACAACGUGCCCUUCCCUUUCGCAAUGACAUCAGAAGACUUUAUAUCAGACUGUUUUCUGUCAAAUGCUGGACCCCGACAGAUUCUGGCAUAUGGAAUGUGGUUUGUCUUUUAAUUCACUGGGGUUUUCUCACUCAGCUUCACCAAAUGGUGGCUGUAAUUAUGGCAGUAAAUGUCUCUCAAAUGACAGAUCUCUCUCUCUCUCUUUUUCUUCCUCCUUAAAAGAGUGAACAUUUUAACAAGGAUGUCGGGGAUAACAGAAAGAAACACACACUCCAAGGGCUUCUUAGACGGCAAGCCAUUUCACGACUCAGAAAGGA